GAUGAACGCUAGCGGCAGGCUUAAUACAUGCAAGUCGAGGGGCAGCAUGAACGUAGCAAUACAUUUGAUGGCGACCGGCAAACGGGUGCGGAACACGUACACAACCUUCCUAUAAGUGGGGAAUAGCCCAGAGAAAUUUGGAUUAAUACCCCGUAACAUAAUGAUGUGGCAUCACAUUAUUAUUAUAGCUUCGGCGCUUAUUGAUGGGUGUGCGGCUGAUUAGAUAGUUGGCGGGGUAACGGCCCACCAAGUCUACGAUCAGUAGCUGAUGUGAGAGCAUGAUCAGCCACACGGGCACUGAGACACGGGCCCGACUCCUACGGGAGGCAGCAGUAAGGAAUAUUGGUCAAUGGACGCAAGUCUGAACCAGCCAUGCCGCGUGAAGGAUUAAGGUCCUCUGGAUUGUAAACUUCUUUUAUCUGGGACGAAAAAAGGCUAUUCUUAGUCACUUGACGGUACCAGAUGAAUAAGCACCGGCUAACUCCGUGCCAGCCGCCGCGGUAAGAC
rnacentral:rRNA from 1 species